AGUGAACGCUGGCGGUAGGCCUAACACAUGCAAGUCGAACGGCAGCACAGAGGAGCUUGCUCCUUGGGUGGCGAGUGGCGGACGGGUGAGGAAUACAUCGGAAUCUACUCUGUCGUGGGGGAUAACGUAGGGAAACUUACGCUAAUACCGCAUCCGACCUACGGGUGAAAGCAGGGGAUCUUCGGACCUUGCGCGAUUGAAUGAGCCGAUGUCGGAUUAGCUAGUUGGCGGGGUAAAGGCCCACCAAGGCGACGAUCCGUAGAUGGUCUGAGAGGAUGAUCAGCCACACUGGAACUGAGACACGGUCCAGACUCCUACGGGAGGCAGCAGUGGGGAAUAUUGGACAAUGGGCGCAAGCCUGAUCCAGCCAUACCGCGUGGGUGAAGAAGGCCUUCGGGUUGUAAAGCCCUUUUGUUGGGAAAGAAGUCCAGCUGGCUAAUACCCGGUUGGGAUGACGGUACCCAAAGAAUAAGCACCGGCUAACUUCGUGCCAGCCGCCGCAGUAA
rnacentral:rRNA from 1 species